rnacentral:rRNA from 1 species
UACGUAGGGUGCAAGCGUUUGUCCGGAAUUAUUGGGGCGUAAAGAGCUCGUAGGCGGCUUGUCGCGUCGACUGUGAAAACCCGGGGCUCAACUCCGGGCCUGCAGUCGAUACGGGCUGGCUUGAGUGCGGUAGGGGAGACUGGAAUUCCUGGUGUAGCGGUGAAAUGCGCAGAUAUCAGGAGGAACACCGGUGGCGAAGGCGGGUCUCUGGGCCGUAACUGACGCUGAGGAGCGAAAGCGUGGGGAGCGAACAGG